AUAGCGUAUAUUAAAGUUGUUGCAGUUAAAAAGCUCGUAGUUGGACUUCUGGUGGGAGCGACCGGUCCCGCGCUCUGCGUGGGUACUUGAGUCGUCUCCGGCCAUCCUUGGGGAGAGCCAGUCUGGCAUUAAGUUGUCGGGCUGGGGAUGCCCAUCGUUUACUGUGAAAAAAUUAGAGUGUUCAAAGCAGGCUUAUGCCGCUGAAUAUAUUAGCAUGGAAUAAUAAGAUAGGACCUUGGUACUAUUUUGUUGGUUUGUGCACCGAGGUAAUGAUUAAUAGGGACAGUUGGGGGUAUUCGUAUUCCAUUGUCAGAGGUGAAAUUCUUGGAUUUCUGGAAGACGAACUACUGCGAAAGCAUUUACCAAGGAUGUUUUCAUUAAUCAAGAACGAAAGUUAGGGGAUCGAAGAUGAUUAGA
rnacentral:rRNA from 1 species